GCGGGCAUAGUUUAGUGGUAAAACUCCAGCCUUCCAAGCUGAUCAUGCGGGUUCGAUUCCCGCUGCCCGCU
rnacentral:tRNA from 1 species